UGCAUAUCAAUAAGCGGAGGAAAAGAAACCAACAGGGAUUGCCUCAGUAACGGCGAGUGAAGCGGCAAAAGCUCAAAUUUGAAAUCUAGCACUUUCAGUGUUCGAGUUGUAAUUUGAAGAAGGUAACUUUGGUUUUGGCUCUUGUCUAUGUUCCUUGGAACAGGACGUCACAGAGGGUGAGAAUCCCGUGCGAUGAGAUGCCCAAUUCCAUGUAAAGUGCUUUCGAAGAGUCGAGUUGUUUGGGAAUGCAGCUCUAAGUGGGUGGUAAAUUCCAUCUAAAGCUAAAUAUUGGCGAGAGACCGAUAGCGAACAAGUACAGUGAUGGAAAGAUGAAAAGAACUUUGAAAAGAGAGUGAAAAAGUACGUGAAAUUGUUGAAAGGGAAGGGCUUGAGAUCAGACUUGGUAUUUUGCGUUCCCUUCCUUUUUGGUUGGGUUCCUCGCAGUUUACUGGGCCAGCAUCGGUUUGGAUGGUAGGAUAAUGACAUUGGAAUGUAGCUUUACUUCGGUGAAGUGUUAUAGACUUUGUUGAUACUGCCUAUCUAGACCGAGGACUGCGUCUUUGACUAGGAUGCUGGCGUAAUGAUCUUAAGCCGCCCGUCUUGAA
rnacentral:rRNA from 1 species